rnacentral:rRNA from 1 species
GACGAACGCUGGCGGCGUGCUUAACACAUGCAAGUCGAACGAAGUGGCGAACGGGUGAGUAACGCGUAAACAACCUGCUAUUCAGAGGGGGACAACAGUUGAAAACGAAUGCUCAUACGCCAUACUGAAGAAGGAGAUUGCGUCUGAUUAGCUAGUUGGAGGGGUAAGGGCCCACCAAGGCGAGGUACAGUAGCCGGUGUGGGAGGAGGAACGGCCACAUUGGGACUGAGACACGGCCCAGACCCCUACGGGAGGCAGCAGUGGGGAAUCUUCCGCAAUGGACGAAAGUCUGACGGAGCAACGCCGCGUGAGUGAUGACGGCCUUCGGGUUGUAAAGCUCUGUUAAUCGGGACGCGGUACCGGAAUAGAAAGCCACGGCUAACUACGUGCCAGCAGCCGCGGUAAUAC